UACGUAGGGGGCAAGCGUUGUCCGGAGUUACUGGCGUAAAGCGCACGCAGGCGGUCUCUUAAGUUUGGAGUGACAGUUGGUGGCUUAACUGCCAAAGUGCUUCGAAAACUGAGAGACUUGAGGGCUUCAGAGGGACACGGAAUUCCGGGUGGAGUGGUGAAAUGCGUAGAGAUCCGGAGGAACACCAAAGGCGAAGGCAGUGUCCUGGGGAGUACCUGACGCUCAGGUGCGAAAGCCAGGGGAGCGAACGGG
rnacentral:rRNA from 1 species